rnacentral:rRNA from 1 species
AACGCUGGCGGCGUGCUUAACACAUGCAAGUCGAACGGUGAAGGGGAGCUUGCUCCCUGGAUCAGUGGCGAACGGGUGAGUAACACGUGGGCAACCUGCCCCUGACUUCGGGAUAACGCUUCGAAAGAGGUGCUAAUACCGGAUAUGAACCCUGAGGGCAUCCUCGGGGUUGGAAAGUUUUUCGGUCAGGGAUGGGCCCGCGGCCUAUCAGCUUGUUGGUGAGGUAGUGGCUCACCAAGGCGACGACGGGUAGCCGGCCUGAGAGGGCGACCGGCCACACUGGGACUGAGACACGGCCCAGACUCCUACGGGAGGCAGCAGUGGGGAAUAUUGCGCAAUGGGCGAAAGCCUGACGCAGCAACGCCGCGUGCAGGAAGAAGGCCUUCGGGUUGUAAACUGCUUUUGUACGGAACGAAACGGUCCUGGUUAAUACCCGGGGCUAAUGACGGUACCGUAAGAAUAAGCACCGGCUAACUACGUG